GGAAAAAAUAGGAACCUUUAUAAACAUCCACAUUACUCUCUUUUCCUUGCUGCCCGUUUCACUCCUUUCUGUCUAUUUUCUAUUUAGUUUUCCCCAACAGCGCACUCAAAAUGCCGAGCAAGAGGAAGAAGAACAAGCGUCGCAUGAGGAGGGUGCAAGCUCAGAGGAGAGCACUUGAGGAACAAUAUGCAGCCAAUCUACCAAUCAAAGCCAGCUCAGGGAUUGCUGUUAGUGCGCCCCCUACAGCGACUCCCAAAAAAGCGGCUAAAGCUGCGCCACCCACCCAGGAGAAGCUCCCACCUUCCGUUCCCAUCUCUGUCCCCUUAGUGGCGCCUCCGAAAGAGGAACCAGAGCCCGUCGUGAAAGAAGAUGCUGCAGAGGCCGUCCAGGUGGAGGCGGCUCCGGCAGAGUCUGAUGCCGUGCUUUUGGACCAGGCCUCUGUGGCUCUGGAGGUGGAGUCCAGAGUGGGGGAUGAAGUUGAAGGUCCAGCACGUGUCUCUGAAGAAGCACCAGUUGAAAGUAGCCCGCCGGUGGAGCCCUCCACGGUCGAAGGUGAUCUGGCUCAGGAGGCCGAAGCUGCUGUUUCUGAAACAGAACCCGUCUCUGAGGUCGUUGCCCUAAAUGAGGAUCCAGCGGAGGUUGCUGCUGAAGCUGAAAUUCAGGCAGAAGACAAUGAAGUCAUACAGAGAGAGACGGAUAAGACACAUGGCGUCCAUGAGGUAGACUCUGAGACAGCUGUGGCCCUGCCAGAAGGAGACACUGAGACCAAGGUGGAAGUGGAGGCGGCCGUCACCGAACAAGUCGGCAUAUCAGAGUCUGGGAAGGAAGCAGCUGAAGAACCAGAUGUAGAAGAUCUUACCUGUGACCAAUAUCCUGCUGAUCUAGAGCCUGCAGCAGGAAAAACUGAAACUAAUACUGGAUCAGAGGUGGAGGAUGUCACAGAAACACUGGAGCCUGAAAAAGAGGCGGAGAAAGUCAGUCCGGCAGACGAUGCAGCGGAGGAUGGAGAGGAAAAACCCGAAGACCUCGCUGAUGAAGACCCGACCGCACCAAGUGCUGAGUCUGUUACAGCUGCAGAGGAUGCUCUUGCCUCAUCGGUGGAAAUCCCAGCGGUUCUGAAUACUAUUACUGAAGCUCCAGCAGAUGAAGCUGACCCGAACCCUGAUAAAGCCACAGAGGAAACUGCUGACCUUCUGGUCCAUGAAUCUGUUGCCACUGAAUCUGUGACGGCCGUGAAGGACAUCGUUUCAGCAUCUGCAGUUGCCGAGCAGGAAACUGAGGGAACAGGGGACAUGUUUACCACCCUAACCGCAUCCAGGGAAGCUACUCCUGCAGACCCUGCAACCGCAGCUGCUCCUACAGGGGAGGUGGGCACCAGCGCUGCUGCCGACCUGACGUCUCUGGAUGCGUUGGCAGACGAAGCGAAGCCAGGAGGCUGCGACAUCCCAUGUCAAGUGCAGCUUCCUGUGGAGGUUGUGCAACUUGGGGCAGCGGAGCUUUCCGUGGAAAUAACACAGAACGGAAACAUUGUUUCUGAGGUCUCUAUCGAGGGUUAGAGCCAAGACACACAGCUCAGAAGAUCUUUUUCUAUGUGUAAGACAUUAAAAAUUCCCGUUGGAGGGCUCAAAGAUUUCCAGGGAGUGGACCAGACCUUUUCAUUCUUUAAGGCUUAGAGCAGAACAGGCAGGAAAUCGAAGUGGGCAUCCACACUUUGAAGUGCCUUUUCCUGUCCUGUGCUCUGCUGAAACAUCAAACCAGAUGUGGAAAUGCAGAAACGGCUCCUUUCACAGCAGCAGCUGAGACUCAUGGAAACAAGCAAUUUUUUUUUUUUUUUUUGGCUCUUUUUAAUACUUUCUUACACAGCAAAACUACAUAUUCAAUGAGUUUGACUAUAGUUCAGGAGAAGGCGCUAAAGUCAUGACAAAACAGCAAGAACAGAAAUAUUUUGCAUCUUCUAUCUUCUCGGAUUAUCUGCCUCCAAAACACUUUUGGAGCAUUGAUAAUUGAGUCAGUAGUUUGAGCAUUUGUUCAUUACAUAGAGAUGUAUUAUGUUGUUUGUUUUUUUAGUUAUUUGUUUGAAAGUCACUGAUUUAGCUCACCACUAUUUGUUUAAAGGCACAAACCUUCAAAUAAACCUAAAAGGACAAUAAAAGAUUUUUGAAGGGAAGUUCUAUUAAAAGGCUAUAACUAGCAAAUAUCUUAUGUGGAGUAGAUAAUGCUCUUGGCGUCCACUUUGGGGAAAAAUCCCAAUAAGUUGAUCUCAGAGGGUGAAACUAAGGGCCAGUCCAAUGCUGAAGCUACGGAGACCCUAAAGGGAGGUUGAAAGGGGGGAAAAAAAGUAUUUCUGGUGCACCCCAGAAAGUUUUUUUUAAUUUCCCUUCAAUGUCCCUUUAGGGGCACAGUAAAAAGCGGAUUGCUACUGUCGCAAAACAACCCCAUUAAUAUAACAGACGUUUGAGUAAGCAAUACAUUUUUAAUUGUUAUCAUGUAAACGUGAAACAUGUGCUGAGACUAGAAUAAAGCAUUUCAAGUCAGAGUCAUCGGCUGAUAAAAAAAGUAAAAUAAAACUGCUAUAAUAAUUGGAAUGGUUUUCUUGUCACUUUAUUUUUAGAAAAAAUUUCUCUGACUGGAAAUCUUUAAAGGUUUCUUGUGUUUCACACGCAAAGCUCUUUGGUGAGGCACUGCCUUUCAUUUCAAUUUAUUGUUAUAAUCAUCACUGUGCUCAGUUUAAAUGACCAUUUUAAUGGUUUAAAGCUUCAUAAAAUAAUGUUCACAUAAACCAUAAAGUCUUAAAGUGUUAUAGAUGAGGUUGUGUCAAGACUGUAGAAGUUCACUUUGGUCUUGGCCACAAUUGAUCCGGCAGUUCUCCAACUAAUCUUGAUUUAUAGUAGGCUAAAUGAAGACACCAGCAGUGUUGUCUACUG